GUAGAUGUUAAAAGCAAGAGACAUGGGAGAGCAUCAUUCCUUUGAGAUUUUAUAACUCAAACCAACUUUGGAGUUGUCUGAUUUGGAGAGUCAUUAUUCUUGGUCUUCGCUCUUAGAGGCCACUGAUGAAGAACAGGCGGUGACUGGGAUGAAUCCUGGUCAGAGAGGAGAAUCUUCUUUCCCCUAAACUGAUGCAGCGGUGGUUUUAAAGGAGGACGCUGCCCUGGAUGAUGUAGAAGAUGUCACAUGCUGUGCAGAUGGGGUUUCUUCAUGAUUACAUCAGUUAUGCUAAAGAGAUCAUGAAAAUUGACCGUGAUGCAUGAUCUGUAUUCAUGGACUAUGAAACAAACUGUAAGUGUAUAAUUUGUUAAGAAAAAAAAGUUAAAUGCUUUUUCUGUGUUGUUUAGUAGAAGAGUUUACACUCUGUCAUUCAUACACCUGCUCACAUUCUUUCACACACACACACACACACACACACACAUGCGUCUGUUGAAUGUUAUAAUAUCAAAG